rnacentral:rRNA from 1 species
GGCGGCGUGCCUAACACAUGCAAGUCGAACGGAAUCAGGGGGCUUGCUCCUUGAUUUAGUGGCGCACGGGUGAGUAAUGCGUAGAUAAUCUACCUGAGGAUCCGGGAUAACAUUUCGAAAGGGGUGCUAAUACCGGAUAAGCCCACGGAGUCUUCGGACUCUGCGGGAAAAGGGGGGGACCUUCGGGCCUUCUGUCCUUAGAUGAGUCUACGUACCAUUAGCUAGUUGGUGGGGUAAAGGCCUACCAAGGCUACGAUGGUUAGCUGGUCUGAGAGGAUGAUCAGCCACACUGGAACUGAGACACGGUCCAGACUCCUACGGGAGGCAGCAGUGGGGAAUUUUGCGCAAUGGGGGAAACCCUGACGCAGCAACGCCGCGUGAGUGAUGAAGGCCUUCGGGUCGUAAAGCUCUGUCAGUGGGAAAGAAGUGUAUUACGGCUAAUACCCGUGAUACUUGACGGUACCCACAAAGGA